ACCCUUUAAUGUUUGAUGUUCUAACGUGGACCCGUGAUCCGGGUUGCGGACAGUGUCUGGUGGGUAGUUUGACUGGGGCGGUCUCCUCCUAAAGAGUAACGGAGGAGCACGAAGGUUGGCUAAUCCUGGUCGGACAUCAGGAGGUUAGUGCAAUGGCAUAAGCCAGCUUGACUGCGAGCGUGACGGCGCGAGCAGGUGCGAAAGCAGGUCAUAGUGAUCCGGUGGUUCUGAAUGGAAGGGCCAUCGCUCAACGGAUAAAAGGUACUCCGGGGAUAACAGGCUGAUACCGCCCAAGAGUUCAUAUCGACGGCGGUGUUUGGCACCUCGAUGUCGGCUCAUCACAUCCUGGGGCUGAAGUAGGUCCCAAGGGUAUGGCUGUUCGCCAUUUAAAGUGGUACGCGA
rnacentral:rRNA from 1 species